rnacentral:rRNA from 1 species
AUUGAACGCUGGCGGCAGGCUUAACACAUGCCAGUCGAGCGGUAGCACAGGGGAGCUUGCUCCCUGGGUGACGAGCGGCGGACGGGUGAGUAAAGUCUGGGAAACUGCCUGAUGGAGGGGGAUAACUACUGGAAACGGUAGCUAAUACCGCAUAACGUCGCAAGACCAAAGAGGGGGACCUUCGGGCCUCUUGCCAUCAGAUGUGCCCAGAUGGGAUUAGCUAGUAGGUGGGGUAAUGGCUCACCUAGGCGACGAUCCCUAGCUGGUCUGAGAGGAUGACCAGCCACACUGGAACUGAGACACGGUCCAGACUCCUACGGGAGGCAGCAGUGGGGAAUAUUGCACAAUGGGCGCAAGCCUGAUGCAGCCAUGCCGCGUGUGUGAAGAAGGCCUUCGGGUUGUAAAGCACUUUCAGCGAGGAGGAAGGUGGUGAACUUAAUACGUUCAUCAAUUGACGUUACUCGCAGAAGAAGCACCGGCUAACUCCGUG